AUUCGAUUAUAUUUAAAACUCUUAUGGGUACGAAAGAAUUUAUAUGAUCGUUUAUUUUUAAAAACUACGAAACUUUCUCCGUACGAGCCAAUUCUAGCUUUGCCUUUUCUUUUCUCGGGGAAUCCAUUUUGUGUAAGGAAGAAGAAAAAUAAAAGAGAGAGAGAGCGAAGGAAAAAAGAGAAAGAAAAUAAAUGAAACAAAAAAGAAAGAAAAGAAAAAAAAAAGAGAAAACAAACAAAAAUGAAGAAAAGAAUGCAAAGAUCGAGAUAUUUUCGGAAGAACGGCAGAUAACAUAACUCGUGAUUAUGUGGAUUCGAGUUUGAAAACAAGUCGGUCGGGUUUAAGGAAAAAAAAAGCAAAAGCAAAAAAAAAAAGAAAAAAGAAAAAGAAAAAAGAAAGAAAAGAAAAGAAAAGAAAAAAAAGGAAAGAAGAAAAGAACAAAAAAAAAACAAAAAAUAGAAAAUUUGCAGACACUUCGAAAUUAUAUCGUAGUCGUUAUGCGUGUAUGAAAGAGAUCGCGGUGCUGAUCUCGAUAAAAAAAAAGAGAGAGAAAGAAAAACAGGAAGAAAGAGAGAGAGAGACAGAGAGAGAGAGAGAGAGAGAGAGACAGAGAAGCGCGAAUAAGUCUCGAGGAGUCGAAUGUAAACUCGACUUUAGGCAGGUAUACACGACGUUACCUCCUUGAGUGCGUACGUACGCAACGUGUGCGAAUGGGGGGGAAACCAGUCAGUCGUAUAAAACCGAGCGGCGAGUCGCGGCUCUAGUCAGUCUCUCACUCGGUCGGUACCUAACGCGAACGUCGUUUCUUUUCGUAAUAUUUUCUUCACGUUGUGCUUUCCCUGUAAUUCCCCCGUCCCCCCGUCCCCACCCCCUCAUUCUGCUCGUAUUCGCAUGCGCGUAGACAAAAUACGAAUACAAAUUUGACGUCGACUUCAGAAUUAAAAAAAAAGAAACAAAAAAAAAAAAAGAAAAAGAAAAAGAAGGAAAAAAAUAAAAAAACAGAAAAACGAAAAGGGAGAACACGGUAAAAUAGAAAUCUAUUCGUUCAUACUUUUUUUUUUUUCUUGUCGGUAUAUUUUUUUUUUUUUUCUUUUUUUUUCUUUUCUCUUUCUUUCUCGUUUUGUUUUUAAACGGAAUCAAAUAAUCAAGGAGGCGAGAGAAAAAGGAAUACGAGUAUUUUUAUUAUCGAUAAAGAAAGAGGAUCGAUAUCUAAGAGGUGGAUUCGUCGAUUGUGAUUUUAUGUGUUUAUGUGUUGUAUAUAUAUAUAUAUAUAUAUAUACACGUGAGUGACGUUCGUUUUGACUUUGGAAUAGAAAAAAAAGAAAGGAAAGAACAGAAAAGAAAAGAAGAGAUGAAGUCGUAAUAACAACAUCGGAUACAAAGUGAAUAAGAAGGAAAACAGAAAAGAAAAGAAAAGAGGAAAGAGAAAAGAAGAGAAUUCUACAUCGAAGAGGAACAAUUAUCGAUGGUCAUCCUUCAUCUUAAUUAGCCCCCAGGAAGAUUCUAGUUACUUCUUGCCUCUAUUUUCUAUCUCUAUAUCUAUCUAUUCAUCUAUCUGUCCAUCUAUCUAUGUAUCUAUCUUGUCUAUCCAUCUAUCUAUAUACACACACACAUAUAUAUAUAUAUAUAUAUAUAUAUAUAUCUUUCUUCCUUCCUUAUGAAAGAAAAAUCUGAUCAACGCUGUUGAAAGAUCUCUAAAGAAGACGUUAUUGCAAAGAGAAGAGAGAAUAUAUCGAGGUGUGCAUUUAACGAUCGAAAAAGGAGGAAGACUCGGAGAUCGUAAAGUAACGCUCUCUCUCUCGCUAUACAGAGAGAGAGAGAGAGAGAGAGAGAGAGAGAGAGAGAGAGAGAAAGUAAAAGAAAAAGAAGACGACGGUGGUCUCUAAAGCAAACGCGUCGAACGAAGUUAUUAACAACCACGUGUGUGGCGUCGGUGUGAAAGAGCGUUAAUUAACACCGUCGUCAUAUGGAAGCAUAAUGGCGGUCCGCUGAAAGACGGUCUCAGGAAAGAAAGAAAAGGAGAAAGAAAAUAAAGAGAUAAAAGAAGAAACAUAUAAGAAAGCAUUGGGCAAGGAAGAAGAUUAUGAGGCGCCCGUAGGAAAGGACCAUUUCUACCUUUACUUUCUACUGUUUUUCGUCGUAGAAAUAUGUCGAAAGGAGGAAAGAAAGCAACGUCGUUAUUCAACAUGAGAGCUACUCGAGCAGCCUCAGCGUUUCUCCUAUUCUACUCUGCAAUCGGAAAAACCAAGGGUGAAAAAGUUUGGUAGGAUGGACGACGACAAAGGAGAAAGAGAAAGAGAAAGAAUAAAAAUAAAAAUAAGAAGAGGAGGAAGGAGAAGAAAAAAAGAAAACGUGGCGAAAAGUAUGUCGCUAGUGUUGUUAACGGAUCUUUCCUUUUCACUCGGACACACUCUCGCUAGAACAUUGAAUAACACCAAAAGCUAAGGGAUGGGAGAGAGGGAGAGAGAGAGAGAGAGAGAGAGAAUUUCGACUUCUCGAAGGCAUCACGUCGCAACAACGUACUAUCACCUGAACUUUCCAUUAAAACUUCAAGUGUCUAUUGUCCAGCAAACUUAAAGCUCGACCGCAACAUAAAAAAUAAGUAAUUUUCAACGAAUGUUUCUGUGUUAUCAUCUUUACGAAUAUAUCAUGAUUCGUUCUUAAACACGAUAUAAAGAAAUUUCAAAGU